rnacentral:rRNA from 1 species
AGAGUUUGAUCAUGGCUCAGAACGAACGCUGGCGGCGUGGAUAAGACAUGCAAGUCGAGCGAGAUUUUUUCCUGUAGCAAUACAGGGAAAAGUCUAGCGGCGAACGGGUGCUUAACACGUGGGCAACCUGCCAAGAAGUGGGGGAUAGCUCGCCGAAAGGCGAAUUAAUACCGCAUGUGAUCAGGGUGGACAUCCAUUCGAAAUCAAAGUUGGGGCAACCUGACGCUUCUCGAGGGGCCCGCGGCCUAUCAGCUAGUUGGUGAGGUAACGGCCCACCAAGGCUUAGACGGGUAGCUGGUCUGAGAGGACGACCAGCCACACUGGGACUGAGACACGGCCCAGACACCUACGGGUGGCAGCAGUCGAGAAUUUUUCUCAAUGGGGGAAACCCUGAAGGAGCGACGCCGCGUGGAGGAUGAAGGUCCUCGGAUUGUAAACUCCUGUCAUUGGGGAACAAUGCGUAAAUAUUAACUGUAUUUACGUUGAUAGUACCCGAAGAGGAAGAGACGGCUAACUCUGUGCCAGCAGCCGCGGUAAUACAGAGGUCUCAAGCGUUGUUCGGAUUCAUUGGGCGUAAAGGGUGCGUAGGCGGCGCGGUAAGUCGGGUGUGAAAUCUCGGAGCUUAACUCCGAAACUGCAUUCGAUACUGCCGUGCUUGAGGACUGGAGAGGAGACUGGAAUUUACGGUGUAGCGGUGAAAUGCGUAGAUAUCGUAAGGAAGACCAGUGGCGAAGGCGGGUCUCUGGACAGUUCCUGACGCUGAGGCACGAAGGCCAGGGGAGCAAACGGAAUUAGAUACCCCCGUAGUCC